rnacentral:rRNA from 1 species
CCUACGGGAGGCAGCAGUAGGGAAUCUUCCACAAUGGGCGAAAGCCUGAUGGAGCAACGCCGCGUGGGUGAAGAAGGUCUUCGGAUCGUAAAACCCUGUUGUUAGAGAAGAAAGUGCGUGCGAGUAACUGUUCACGUUUCGACGGUAUCUAACCAGACAGCCCCGGCUAACUACGUGCCAGCAGCCGCGGUAAUACGUAGGUGGCAAGCGUUAUCCGGAUUUAUUGGGCGUAAAGGGAACGCAGGCGGUCUUUUAAGUCUGAUGUGAAAGCCUUCGGCUUAACCGGAGUAGUGCAUUGGAAACUGGGAGACGUGAGUGCAGAAGAGGAGAGUGGAACUCCAUGUGUAGCGGUGAAAUGCGUAGAUAUAUGGAAGAACACCAGUGGCGAAAGCGGCUCUCUGGUCUGUAACUGACGCUGAGGUUCGAAAGCGUGGGUAGCAAACAGGAUUAGAUACCCUAGUAGUC